AGGUUGUUCUUCAAGGCUUCAAGUUUUAAAACCAAGAUUAUUCUGGGAAGUUCAUGUUCAUGGAGCUUUUAUGAGAGUCAAAACACAUCCUGUUCCACAGGAAAUCUUCACUAAAGCUCGCUAAACCCACAAAUAUUUGCUGCCGGUGACUUUUGAUUGUAAUUUUUGAGGAAACUGGAAAAAGAGCCCUAGGAUAUGUAAAGAUUGCCUUGGUGUAAAGUGGAUUCUGAUGACAGGAAUGAGUGUCAUGGUGCAAGCCAUUCCCCACCCUCUUAUCCUCAAACCUCACUCUGCUAGAACUGGUGGCAGGGCUUUGAUCACCUGCAGGCUGUGCAAUGGGCAAGAAGACGUCUAUGCCAGGCAUAGUUCUAAGAACCAGGAAGAAAGGAAUGUAAGACAGCAUUUACAUUCCUGUAAGAGAAACAGAUACUAAGCAGACAUAAAUAAUAAAUGUGAUCUAAUGUUCUGUUAUCCCCAUUGUUAUGAAGAAAAAUCAGGCAGGAGAAAAAAAUGCAGAAGAGAGUAGAAAUUGAUGGGGUGAGAGUCAGUGUCUCUCUGAGGAAGAAAGCCUUUAGGCAUGGACAGUAAGGUCCAAGUUCCUGCAAUGGAAACUACCUGAUGUUUUUAAGAGAAAGAUCUGUAAGACAGUAUGCUGAGGUGAGGGACAAGGGGAAGGAUAGUGGGAGGUGAAACCAGACUGGAAGUCAAAGGCCAGGUCACCUAGGGCCCAGGAGGCAGAGACUGGCCAUUGGGUCUUAUUCUGAAAGGCAUUGCAGAGAUGAGUGAUAGGAUUUGAUUUACUGUCCUAAAAGAGCACUCUAGUGUUGUGUGGAGAAGGGGUUAUAACAGACAUGCAUAGAAGCAGAAGAAUCAGAUAAAAGGAUAAAAUGAUGGGGUUUAGUAUGGAUUAGGUUGUGCAUAGAGGUGAUAUGGUGGAAGGGGGUACAUUUUGAAGGAGAAACUGACAUGAUUUGUAGAUAAAUUAGGUAUGAGAUAUGGGAGAAAGAAAAUAAUAAAAAUGACACAUAGGUUUCUUUGCUUUAUUCUUUUAAAGAAUAAUUUAUGGUUGUAAUUACAAUUAUAGAAGUGACACAUGUUCACUAUGGAACAGUUUAAAACUGCAGGGCUAGGGCAGAGAGUAGCUUAGUGGUACAGCACUUGUUCAGCAUGCAUGAGGUCCUGGGUUCAAUUCCCAGUACCCAAAAUGAAGAAAAGAGAAGAAAAGAAAAUUUAAAGCAUGCAAAGAAAAAAAAUUAAAGAGAAAAAUAAACUAUAGUACUCAUAAUCCCAGUAUGUAGAGGUACUUUAGUUUACAACAUUACAUGUGUGUAUGUGUAUAUGUGUGUGUAUGCAUAAAUAUAUUUGAAUAAAUGGAUACUCCCAAUUUUCUAACUAAUGUAAUGUAAUAGAAAAUAAAAAUAACAUUGACUAUAUUAUUUUAUAAACUGUUUUUGUAAAGCAUUUUAUUUUUAACAAAUUGUAGACUUAAAAAAAUUAAAGCUCAUUGCAGAAAUACUAGAGGUAGUAUGUACUUCUCACCUAUCUUCCCUGAACAUCACCAUCUUAUGUAAUAUAAUUAUCAAAACUAGGAAGGUAAUGUUCACACAGUCUUAUAAACCAAACUCCAAAUGUUACUCAAAUUUUAUUAAGUCUUUUACAUUAAUUCCCCUUUUCUGUUUCAGGCUCCCACAUUCCAUUCCAUUGUUAUUUUUUCUUAAACUUCCCUAAAUAUGAGAGUUCUUCAGUCUUUCUUUAUCUUUUGUAACUGUGGCACUUAAAAAAUACUGUUAAAUGAAGUAGAGUAUAUGCAUGAAUGAAAU